AUACGGAGGAUCCGAGCGUUAUCCGGAUUUAUUGGGUUUAAAGGGUGCGCAGGCGGCCAUUUAAGUCAGCGGUUAAAUCGUGGGGCUCAACCCCAUUCUGCCGUUGAUACUGGGUGGCUUGAUUGCGGUCGAGGUUGGCGGAAUUCGUUUUGUAGCGGUGAAAUGCAUAGAUAUGACGAAGAACACCGAUUGCGUAGGCAGCUGACCAGACCGCAAAUGACGCUCAUGCACGAAAGUGCGGGGAUCGAACAGGAUUAGAUACCCUGGUAGUCCGCACAGUAAACGAUGAAUACUUGUUUUCGGCGAUAUAAUGUCGGAGGCAAAGCGAAAGCGAUAAGUAUUCCACCUGGGGAGUACGCCGGCAACGGUGAAACUCAAAUGAAUUGACGGGG
rnacentral:rRNA from 1 species